rnacentral:rRNA from 1 species
CAAGUAUACAAAGAGAUUGUUAUGGAAUCAUAGCUAUAUAUCAAAGAGAGCAAUAAGAAAAAAAGAAAAAUAAACGAAGCGAAGUGAAAUAUCUUACUAACUUCAGGAAAACAAAUCAAAAGAGAUUCUUUAAGUAAUGUGAAUGAAAUAAGAAAAGUCUUAAACAAGUAAAUUGGAGUACAUAUCUGUUUGAAUAAAAGGGGAACCUUCCUCUAAGACUAAAUAUGAUAUAUAUGUGAUAGCGAAAAGUACCGUGAGGGAAAUGAUUGAAAUAGCAAUUUUAGAAGCAGCUCAAAAAAAGUUUAAAUAAACGAGUAGAGCGUACCUUUUGCAUAAUGGGUCAGCAAGUUAAUGUUUGAUGCGAGCAGUAAAAAAGUUUAGAAUUAAGAGUUGCUUUACAUAUUGCGUAGAUAAAACAAUUAUGAUAUAAUGAUGUAGUAUCAAAUAUUAGACCCGAAGCUUAGUGAUCUUACUACAAUCAGGAAUAUAAAAGUCCGAACGGGUUAUCGUUGUAGAGAUAUCCGAAGAAUUGUGGUAAGUUAGUGAAAGACAAAACUGACUAAGAUAGCUGGUUUUCUGCGAAACCUAUUUAAGUAGGUAAUUUAAAUAGAAUAUCAGAAGGUACAGAAUUGUGAUCUCAUGCAACUAGUACUCAUUCUCCUGUUAAUUCAGUAAUAUGAAUGAAAUGCUUUUUGCGGACAUUGGGGGGUCGUGAAGACUCUAUCAGUGAGUAUUUGUUCUCGGAAGGACUAGAUAUGAAUAUUGAAUAAUCAGACAUAGUACGAUAAGGUUGUAUGUCUAAAGGGAAACAGCCCAGAACAAGAGUUAAUAAGGUUCCAAAAUUAUUGUUAAGUGAAAUUAAGGGAGUAUUUAUUCUAAACAACCAGGCAAUAGGCUUAGAGGCGGCCAUUUUCUGAAGAUCUCGUAACAGAGCACUGGUUUAAACGUUAAUAAGGAUAAAAGCACCGAACAUUUAACGGAUCUAAAUAAUAUACCGAGACCUUGUCCAAAUAUAUUAAUGUAUUUAUACAUUACAUUGUAUAUGUGGGGUAGCAGAACAUUGGGGAAGUUUAUUAUUAUGUCUUUACAAGACAUAAUAUUAACAAGCCAAGCGAAAAUGCUGACAUGAGUAACGAUAAAGGGCAAUACCCUCGCCUAAAGCUUAUGGAAUUUAAUUAAAGUUACGGCCUCUAAGUUUAUUAUAUAUUUAAUUAAAAUAAAGAGUGACAAAUGUUCUGGAAAACUGUAGAUCUCGUUUGCUAAACAGUAAUAAACUAAGUAAGAUGACAUGUUUAGCAAAUGCUUUACCGUACCUAAAUACUAACACAAGUAAGCAAGUAGAGUAUACGAAGGCGUUCGAGUUAACAAUCAUUAAGGAACUCGGCAAAUUGACUCGCGUAACUUCGGGAGAAGGUGGGCCGUCCCUUUUGAUUAAUAUCAGAUAUGGGAUAGGAGGCACAGAAUGGUGUUGUACGACUGUUUAAUUAAAACAAAGCACGCUGCGAAGAAAUAAAUUCGAAGUAUUGAGUGUGAUGUCUGCCCGAUGGUGGCUGGUUAUCGGAUUUGCUUGGUUGACUAAAAUAAGCUAGGCUUUGAAGGAACCCCCUUUCAAUGGCGGCCUUACAGAUGAGGGUCCUAAGGUAGCGGAAUACCUCGGCCGUUAACUGCGGUCUUGCAUGAAUGAUGUAACGAUACAACAGCUGUCUCAAUGAUUGGCUCGGUGAAAUUGUAAUAACUGUGCAGAUACAGUUUACCUCUAGUUGGACGAGAAGACCCUAUGCAGCUUUACUGUUGCUAGUUACCGAAUAUGAUAAGAUGAGUUUUAGUAAAUAAGGUAAUUGCUAAGAUAUAAUUGAGACACCUUUACUUCAUUUAUCAUAUUAUAUAAACCUUACAUACUGGACUAACGAGUUUAUAGGAACAAUUGCUAGGUGGCAGUUUAUGCGGGGCACAGACCCCACAAAAAGUACCUGGGUGUAUCCAAAUUCAUUUUUGUAAAAUUGCGAUAUGCAAUUAAAUGUGUACACACUUAUUUCAUAAAAAAUAAGAGUCCUACAUGUUUUUUAUUUUUAGUCUGAAGUUGGUCUUAUUUUAAUAUAUUUUUUAUAUUUUAUUGCUAAUUCAGUUACAUAUCUAUUUUAAGUUGGAACUUUUUUUUUUUUUUUUUAAUUUGAAGUAAGAUUUUCCCUAUUAUAAAGUAUAGAUGUAAUUAAAUUGUUCUUUAUUUGUUGUUAGACCAAAGCUGAGAAAUUAUCACAUUAAAUAACCAUUUUUAUUGUUUAUCAGAUACUCAUUCUGUAGGUUUAUAGAUAUCUGCUUAAAUGAUAAUUAUUUUACUUAUCAAGUUUAACGGCUUAAUCUUGCUUUACUGUUUGACUUACAUGUCUUUCAGUCGCGUAAGCGGGGCAUAUUAUCACAAGAUGCAGAAAGGAAAGGUCUUGGAUUAUUGAAAAAGCUACGCUAGGGAUAACAGGCUAAUUCGCGCAAGAGAGUUCAAAUUGGGUGCGGAGUUUGGCACCUCGAUGUCGGCUUAACUCAUCCACAUGAAUGCAAGAGUCAUGAAGGGUUCGCCUGUCCGUCGAUUAAAGAGUUACACGAGCUGGGUUAAAUACGCCGUGAGGCAGUAUGGUUUCUAUCUUCUAGAGGAGGUUAGAAUAGAAUAAGGAUAGCCCCUUGUACGAAAGGAGUUGGGUAUAUUAACCUAUGGUUUACCUGUUGUUUUCAUGUGCCUUAUUAUAUUAAUACAGUUUUACAGUUAAUAACUUUUAGAACUGUGAUUUGUAAGUCUAUAGCUAAAUGUAAAGAACAGGCCAAAUACUAUGACUUACACUGGGUUUUAUUUUACACUAGAAUAGAAAACGGCAGGCACGGCAGGAAGGCUACGUUAGUGAAUGAUAAGUGCUGAAUGCAUCUAAGCACGAAAUAUACCUUAGGAUAUUCUUAAAUAUAUGUAGUUUAAUACUACGAUUUUAAGUCGUUUUUAUUUUUUAGUUAAUAUUCAUUUUAUUAAACACAUGUCAUGAAUUUAAUAAAACAAUAUAACUAAAAGUAAAGAUAGGAUCUUAAUUAAUAGGUCUAAGUUUAAAGAAUUGUGAUGUUCUUAGGCGUUAGAUACUAAUUUUAUAACCUACUAAUUAGUA